rnacentral:lncRNA from 1 species
UUAAAUUCGAAGAGCUGUGCUAUUGCAUACUUGUCAAUCAAGCAAACAUUGUAUUUGCCAAAUACAAAAUUACAGGAUUAGUGUCCAAGAGAACGAACAUCAACUUGUAAGAAUGGACCUACACACUUUGUUAUCUUCAGUCUGUAAAAUCGCUCCUAUGCCACUUGGAGAUUCAGAGAUAGAUCACAUUCCAAGUGUCAGGUCCUUAAUAUAAUUCUCAAGAAUACAUGCGAAGUUUGAAGCAUUUCAUAAGACAAGAUGACUCUGGUGAUUCUAGAAAGUUACUUGAGCAAAUUAAAAAAGUAUUGAAUAGUUCCUAAGGAAAAUUGUAACUUGUUGAUGAUUCUCAUGAGUAGCAAAGUUGGCUAGAACUUAGAAAAUAUUGCCUUUGACUAUAAGGCCUCCUUUUACUAACCAAAAUUGCAUCCUAUAUGAGGUAAAAUGUAGCUAGGUAUUUAUGAACUGAGACAGCUACGUGCAGCAAGAGAAAGCGAAGAUCUAACAAAACACAAAUUUAAUUAGUUAUUGCUCUUGUACUAUGCUCCAUACAGGAAGUAUUACGCCACCCAAACUAUUAAAGUAACUUCGGAAUCUAGGCAACUUAAUCCCAUUAAUAUAGAAUAUUGAAACAAACAACGUGGUGAACAACUGACGAGUAUAGUGUCACCAUUCAGUCAUUCAAUAUAUAUAGAUAAUAAAGAGCUAUAGCCUGCAAUUACGCUCAGGUUCAGCUGCACUAUGACAUGAUAAGACUAUAUGCUUAUGUGAUUCUUGGAAGGUUAUUCAGUAAAUAAAAUAUCAAUGAUAUCAGAUGAAAACACUACCGCCAGAAACAACCUGCCAUGACUUAGCAUCAGUUCUAGCAAAACUACAAUGAAAAUUGUUCCACCAAGUAGUUGUACAGGUGUGACAGUACUAUUGCUAUACCUUCUUGAUCCAUGGAACUUUAAUAUGUUUUGGACCGCUGCUUGGCGCUGCCGAGUGUGACGAGUUCUCCUCGCGUCAUGAGGCUAUACCUAGGUACGCGCGAUUCACCCAAUCCACCGCGACCUCGAUCUAAUCCGGCAUUGGCAGGAGACUAUAGGAAGGUCCUUUAGAAGGUUACUGUUGCCUUGACAACCGUCGGCUGACUUGGAUCUUCCCUGCCGCCCUGUUGCAGCAAUCGACGGCUUGCUAUCUUCUUCAUUAGUACGGCAUCUAGGAAUCCAUGUACAAGCUAGCAGCCUCGGCCUGCAUUCUGAGGAAUUGAUCUCAUUACUUUAUUUAGAGAUUGAUUAAUACUUUCCUACUCAUGAAGAUAAAUUGAUCUUUUGCAUUCUCUUCUUCUCAACCAGGCUUGAUAAUUGUUACACAGUUGCCUUAUUACGUGGAUGUGUAGAUAAACCUGGAGGCCCGGACUUUGCUCGGAAACUCAAUGGACGUCCGGAGAACGUGAUCCCAGGAGAAACUAAGCUGUAUAGUCCUUACGGCCAAAGCUCCUCUCCGAGUCGCCCGCACCUGACCUGCAGAACAAAAACAGAGGAAGAUGAGGUAGGGGGAGCACGAACUGAGAGGGUACAGUGGCCGGUAACCGGAUCGGCACCAUGUACGAGCCCAGCGGCGGCGGGCCCUGGGAGGCCAGGAGCUGAGGCCGACGCCCUCCUCAACGUCGAAGUCAAAGUAGCUCCGGCCGGCUGCUUCGAAUCCUUUUGUCGCCGGCUUCGGCGGCCUCGCUCCGUCGUAGGUGGCAGGUUCUGGACGGGAACCGAGCGCGGGGGUGGGGGGUGGGGGGCGACGCCAGAUUCGGCGGCGACCAGAUCGGAAGGGGAAGAGGUGGGUUCGGGAGCGAUAGAGAUAGAUCGCGUUUGACUGACCUACAAUUUUUUUCCACCAGAAAACCAACUUGGGAAGAGAACGCGAUGGGUGGAGGGAUUGAUGAAUCGGGCGAUCGUAAGGGGGGAGACCGAACCUUACGUUUUUUUAAAGUAGUAGAGAUAAAGGAGUCUCCUCGGCAAGCUACAUUGUCAGCGUCCUCUGUGCCUGCCAGAGAAUCACAUCUUCC